rnacentral:rRNA from 1 species
UACGUAGGGUGCAAGCGUUAUCCGGAAUUAUUGGGCGUAAAGAGCUCGUAGGCGGUUUGUCGCGUCUGCUGUGAAAACCGGAGGCUCAACCUCCGGCCUGCAGUGGGUACGGGCAAACUAGAGUGCGGUAGGGGAGAUUGGAAUUCCUGGUGUAGCGGUGGAAUGCGCAGAUAUCAGGAGGAACACCGAUGGCGAAGGCAGAUCUCUGGGCCGUAUCUGACGCUGAGGAGCGAAAGCGUGGGGAGCGAACAGG